UCGGUGACUUCCCCACCACUCCCAACUCUUUGUCGUCACAGAGCAGGUGGCCAAGACUGCAAAUAUUAACUAGUUUCAGCUAAAGAGAACAUGUGCUUUAUAACCUGUAGUGUAAUCCCUAAACGCCUCCUCUUUAAAUAACGCACAAUGCCUUGGGAGUAAGAAGCCAAGGAGAGGGUCUGUCAGAUUUUGUUCUGAGUACUGUACCACCCUGUCAGCCCGAAAGAAACCCUCCUUUCAUUUGAGUGGCGGCGUAGGGCUGUAAUUAAGAUCGGAAUCGGGCCCCUUGUUUCCAAUGCAAGCCAGGGAAAUUCCUGGGCUUGACAAGGAAAUGUGACAACAUGAAAUACAGACUCAACGUGCCUAUGGCGUUGGGUAAUGAAUUCCGUGUCAGAAACCCCUUUCCCCUAUAACCGUUUAUGUCAACAAAUCCAAGGGUGGAUUAAAGCCCCAGCCGGGUUCCGCUGCUUCGCCGGCCUGCCUCUCCGUUCACCGAGCUGGAAUUUCAAGGAUCGGGAUAAUUUAUAAGGGUCAGAGUCUGAUUGCUCAGAUCAAGCUGAGAGGGGACCCUGGCUGCCUUCCCAACCUGUAGCUUACAGGCUGCUUUACUUUUCUAAUGCAAACUCCUAUACACUUGAUAUGGCACAUAGAAGCCG